rnacentral:rRNA from 1 species
AUUGAACGCUGGCGGCAGGCCUAACACAUGCAAGUCGAGCGGCAGCGGGAAAGUAGCUUGCUACUUUUGCCGGCGAGCGGCGGACGGGUGAGUAAUGCCUGGGGAUCUGCCCAGUCGAGGGGGAUAACUACUGGAAACGGUAGCUAAUACCGCAUACGCCCUGCGGGGGAAAGCAGGGGACCUUCGGGCCUUGCGCGAUUGGAUGAACCCAGGUGGGAUUAGCUAGUUGGUGAGGUAACGGCUCACCAAGGCGACGAUCCCUAGCUGGUCUGAGAGGAUGAUCAGCCACACUGGAACUGAGACACGGUCCAGACUCCUACGGGAGGCAGCAGUGGGGAAUAUUGCACAAUGGGGGAAACCCUGAUGCAGCCAUGCCGCGUGUGUGAAGAAGGCCUUCGGGUUGUAAAGCACUUUCAGCGAGGAGGAAAGGUCAGUAGCUAAUAUCUGCUGGCUGUGACGUUACUCGCAGAAGAAGCACCGGCUAACUCCGUGCCAGCAGCCGCAGUAA